rnacentral:rRNA from 1 species
AGCGAACGCUGGCGGCAGGCCUAACACAUGCAAGUCGAACGAACUCUUCGGAGUUAGUGGCGGACGGGUGAGUAACACGUGGGAACGUGCCUUUAGGUUCGGAAUAACUCAGGGAAACUUGAGCUAAUACCGGAUGUGCCCUUCGGGGGAAAGAUUUAUCGCCUUUAGAGCGGCCCGGGUCUGAUUAGCUGGUUGGUGAGGUAAAGGCUCACCAAGGCGACGAUCAGUAGCUGGUCUGAGAGGAUGAUCAGCCACAUUGGGACUGAGACACGGCCCAAACUCCUACGGGAGGCAGCAGUGGGGAAUCUUGCGCAAUGGGCGAAAGCCUGACGCAGCCAUGCCGCGUGAAUGAUGAAGGUCUUAGGAUUGUAAAAUUCUUUCACCGGGGACGAUAAUGACGGUACCCGGAGAAGAAGCCCCGGCUAACUUCGUG